ensembl:miRNA
GAGCCUGAUCUGUUUCUGAGAUCAAACAGAGCAGCAUUGUACAGGGGUGU